UUGAGUAACACGUGAGUAACCUGCCCUUGACUCUGGGAUAAGCCUGGGAAACUGGGUCUAAUACCGGAUAUGACUCCUCAUCGCAUGGUGGGGGGUGGAAAGCUUUUGUGGUUUUGGAUGGACUCGCGGCCUAUCAGCUUGUUGGUGAGGUAAUGGCUCACCAAGGCGACGACGGGUAGCCGGCCUGAGAGGGUGACCGGCCACACUGGGACUGAGACACGGCCCAGACUCCUACGGGAGGCAGCAGUGGGGAAUAUUGCACAAUGGGCGAAAGCCUGAUGCAGCGACGCCGCGUGAGGGAUGACGGCCUUCGGGUUGUAAACCUCUUUCAGUAGGGAAGAAGCGAAAGUGACGGUACCUGCAGAAGAAGCGCCGGCUA
rnacentral:rRNA from 1 species